UUUCCGUAGGUGAACCUGCGGAAGGAUCAUUAUUGUAUAACCGAGGUGCGAGGGCUGUCGCUGACCCGAAAGGUCGUGCACGCCCGAGUGCCCUCACACACAUCCAUCUCACCCCUAUGUGCACCACCGCGUGGGUCCCCCUUUGGCUUGUUCGGAGGGGGGCUUACGUUUUCACACAAACUUUGUAUGCAGUGUAGAGUGUAUUUUUUGUUUUUGCGAUCACGCAAUCAAUACAACUUUCAACAACGGAUCUCUUGGUUCUG
rnacentral:misc_RNA from 1 species